CUGAAAUGUGGCAAAAGGUCGCAAAGUUCAAGGGGGCCGAAUACUUUCGCAAGGCACUAUACAUUUUUCAGUGCUUGAUGCAUUGGUAUCUUUACCCUAGAUUUAAUGCUCAAGCCUAAACUCAGCUGAGAGCCUACACAAAAACAAACGCAAGUCAAUCAUGAAGGGAAUAGGUAAGCUUGGAAAAGAAACACCUUUAAUAAACAUGUUAUGGAUCAUUUCCAAAUGUACUUGUCAACAUUUUAUGCAGUCAGAUGAAUGUGUGAACCGAUGGCCUCGGUAGAUACUUAAAAUACUAACAUACUGUAAAAUAAAAUAUAUACUCCCCAAAUGUUUGCCCUCAGAACAGCCUCAAUUCAUUGUGGCAUGGACUACAUUGUGUCAAGCAUUCCACAGGGAUGUUGGCCCAUGUUGACUCCAAUGCUUCCCACAGUUGUGUCAAGUUGGCUUUGGGUGGUAGACCAUUCUUGAUACACAUGGGUUUCUGUUGAGUGUGAAAAACCUCAGCAGUGUUGCAGUUCUUGACACAAACCGGUGUGCCUGGUACUUACUGAAAGGCACUUACAUAUUUUCUUUCCCAUUCACCCUCUGAAUGGCACACAAACGCAAUCAAUGUAUCAAGGAUUAAAAAUCCUGUCUCCUCCCCUUCAUCUACACUGAUUUAAUAAGUGACAUCAAUAAGGGAUCAUAGCUUUCACCUGGGCAGUCUGUCGCGGAAAGAGCAGGCAUUCUUAAUGUUUUGUACACAGUGUAUAUUUAUCACUUGGGGGGAAAAAAGUAUUUUGUAAACAUCAAAGAAAAUCCACCACUACACUUAUGGCAUUAACUAUCUUGGUUAGGAACAACACCAUGAUAAACCAUCUUUGGUAACACCCUUUGUAAACCAAACACAAGAUAGGCUGGUGUUGACAAUCCAUCUUCAGGUAUGAACAUUCACGUGGCUAUUGUAAACAAUUUAAGAGCUCUUGAUUCUGCAUCAGUACCGGAUACUUUGUCAUUGCCAGCCUAUAUUGCUCUCACAGGCUUUAGCGGAGAUUGGAAAAGAACGCG